GGAAUAUCCAUUUCAAAGGCCUGUGAUGUAGAGCAAGUUUGCCUUCAGUCUUUGAACUUCCCAGAAGAGCAACCAGCUUGAGAGAGACUUGGAAAUGUUGGUGUUUUCACUUCCGCAGCUCCAGAAAGGAAAGAAAUAUACCAUGUGGAACCUGCACGCUCUGAUGUCCACUGCCAGCCAUUAGCCCCAGUAAUUUGAUUCAAGGAUAUUUAUGACCUACUUUUUGAAUCACGGCAACCCAGGUGGUGCUAUUUCAUAUAUUCCCUUGCUGAGAAGCCAACGGACAAGCAGAAAUUGUGAGAGGGUGGGUGGACUUCUCUGGAAAUUCUGCUAAGUCUGUUGUGCAAACACAGGUCUGUUUUCCUAGGGUUCCUUGCAGGGCUGGAGCCUUGGGGAUGCCUCUUCUUGUCUUCAUUCUCUCAGACCCUCACUGGCAAUGACUGGAUCUCAUCUGGCAGAGAGCAUGGGCCCCUCCUCUUUCCAAAAUGCCUGCCUUUCAUUACGAAUGGCGUCUUGAGGUGGACACUGACGAUGCCCCUCCCCCUGGCAACCACUACACUGAGCACAGACAAUGCAGGAUCCUUUGAUUCAGCUUUGCUGGCAGCUGCUCUUCCCCCAAAUACUUGAAGAACUUCCAAUUCGGCGUUUGGGAAGAGGCGAGGA